UUAAAUUAAAACGAUUGUAUCCGCUAGUUAUUCCGCACAAACAACAUUGCUCAUUUACAUUGUAAAUGAGCAUUCUAAAAUCAAAUUGAACUAUACUGGCCACCAUACAUUGUGCAAGGCCAACACGCUAAUUGAUUGUGACUUCAUCGUUUGUCAUUUUGACGGGAUGUCAUUCUUCUAUCCGUGUUGCAAGUGGAGGUGUAAUUAUAAACACGGAUAUGAUGGGACUACUCAGCACAGAAAGUCAAAGACACAUCAACCGUUUUCAAGUUCAAAUGCCAACAUCCCUGGUAGAUCGGUGUUGGCUUACGGAAUACUGACUGGCCCUCUACAGUCUUCAACACGUACGUCCUGCUUAUGCUGCAGCCCAACGAAUCACGCCGUCGUUCAACGCUUUGGAAAGACAUCCACCAAACAGCCUGUAUUUAUACAGCCACCGGUCGGAGACGCAUUUCACCUGCAAGACAAAAUGACCCCCUCAUUAAUCUCUAGAGCUGUUCGAUCGGACAACCUCUUAAGGGCCGCCGAACAAACGAGAAUGACAGAACACAAGCUUGCUUCAACCCUUUCUUCCUCCAGUGUAUGUUUCAACUCCCCGCGUUCUGUGGCCUCAAUCUCUCCUCGCUGCCUGUCGGCGGCAGCAGCAACAUAUCCUCGGGGACGCCCCUCCGACACGAGGUUAGGGCAAUUUAGCACCGGCAGGAGGAAAAAUCACCCAGGAACCUGCUUUGGCACCGGCAAGGAAUAGGCCGGGACAAGCGGCCGGGGGUAGCAGAUGGCAAUGAAUCUGUAAUCAGAAGUCUCUGGUGCGCGGAGAGGUACUGGUGGAAUGCAAUCUUCAAAUAGUGCACGCGAGACACUCUUUGAUUUCCCGGCCGAAACGGAAGGGGCCUGUGUGCGUUCAGUUCACGGCUUCCGCAAGGUAACAUUACUCGGGUCCUCAGAACGUUGCCAAGGAAAUUCAUUCAAUCUUGAGCAGUUCGCUUGACAAUCUCGUGCCAACCCCCAACGGAUGUAUGCUUCCCCCACCCCCCAUUCCUCCCAGCAUGGGGCCUGUCUGCCUACUAAUCAUAUUCAAGCAGGCUGAAGACGUACAUCGCCAGUUGGACCUGAACUUAAAUACGGCGCUGCUCUAAUGGCUCCCAAAUGGACGCCAGGAUGUCUCGCCUCCCCACGGACCUCACCUGGCUUUCCGUCCUGGCGCCUUGCGUGUGUGACGUUGUGGCAAUGAGGCGCCGUCCUAAACUCCUCUGUGACCUUAAAUGCUCCUCCUCCCCCUCCCCUCCGCCCUAGAGUCUUUAUAAUUGGCUAAUUAAACGGAAAGACAACAGCUCCGGCAUACCUCAUUAACGGCGCCUCUCCGUCAGCCUGCACCGUCGCGGUCGUUUCCUGAAACGGCGCUUCUCUCGCCCUCCUCUCCCACCCCUCCCCUCACGCCUCCCCUCCGGGCUCCCCCUUCACCCCC
ensembl:lncRNA